GGGCCCUAGCUCAGUGGUAGAGCACUUGCCUUGUAUGCAGAGGGUACCAGGGUCAAUCCAUAGCAUCUUCA